rnacentral:rRNA from 1 species
AACGAACGCUGGCGGCAUGCCUAACACAUGCAAGUCGAACGAGACCUUCGUGUCUAGUUGCGCACGUGUGCGUAACGCGUGGGAACCUGCCCUUAAGUUCGGAAUAACUCCCCGAAAGGGGUGCUAAUACCGGAUAAUCUCUUCGGACCAACGAUUUAUCGCCUUUUGGUGGGCGCGCGUUGGAUUAGCUAGUUGGUAGUGUAAAAGCCGCCCAAGGGGACGAUGCAUAGCUGGUCUGAGAGGAUGACAAGCCACACUGGGAAUGCGACACGGACGAGAAUCCUACGGGAGGCAGCAGUGGGGAAUAUUGGACAAUGAGCGAAAGUCUGAUACAGCAAUGCCGCGUGAGUGAUGAAGGCGUUAGGAUUGUAAAGCUCUUUUACACGGGAUGAUAAUGACAGUAACGGGAAAAUAAGCACCGGCUAACUCCGUG